rnacentral:tRNA from 1 species
UGUUCUGUGGCAAAGUUGGUUAACGCUCCCUGUUUAGCGAAUUGAGGAGACGUAGGUUCAAGUCCCAUCAGAACUA